CCCCAUCGACGGUGUGUUUUGGCACCUCGAUGUCGGCUCCUCGCUGUCUGUUGCUGUAGUCGGUCCCAUGUGUUGGGCUGUUCUCCCAUUAAAGCGGUACGCGAGCUGGGUUCAGAACGUCGUGAGACAGUUCGGUCCCUAUCCGUCGCGGGCGUAGGAAAUUUGAGAGGACCUGUCCUUAGUACGAGAGGACCGGGAUGGACAUACCGCUGGUGUACCAGUUGUUCCGCCAGGAGCACCGCUGGGUAGCUAUGUAUGGACGAGAUAAACGCUGAAAGCAUCUAAGUGUGAAACUCGCCUCGAGAUGAGAUUUCCCAUUUCCUUCGGGAAAGUAAGACCCCUCAGAGAUGAUGAGGUAGAUAGGAUGGAAGUGGAAGUGCCGUGAGGCAUGGAGCGGACCAUUACUAAUCGGUCGAGGACUUAACCAAG
rnacentral:rRNA from 2 species